AAGAAACCAGCGGGGCAGGAUCCACAGACGCGUUGUCCUUUUUGGUUGGCGGAAUCCAGGGCCCAAUUGGUUAUUCUAGAGGAAAGAUUUAUGAUGGAUUUAUGACACCGUCAAUGAAUUGUUGCUAGGUGACUUUAGGCUGCGUGCACAAGAAUGCAUGUGCAAUGCCCGACAAUAAAAAGAAGCCACGUCCACAUUUGAGGGUGAUGAAAAGGAAACGCCGUGACAGUUUAGCACCAAUCUGAGACCAUUGCCCACAACAAGUCUGGGCCGAGAGUCUCAAACAGUUGGAUUAGAUCGGUGGGAGAGACAAGAGGAGGGUGCGCUGUCCACGCACGUGGGGGCCCUUGGAAUAAGUGCUGCAGUCGAUGAUGAAGAAGAAGAAGAGGAACGUUGAGGUGUUCAGUUUGCCAGAAAGUUUGUGGGAAGUGGACCUGAAGAAAUUCCACAUUGUAAGUAAAUAAGCUAUAUGCCCGUGUGUGUGUGUAUGUGUGUGUGUGUGUGUGUGUGUGUGUGUGUGUGUGUGUGCGUGCGUGCGUAUACACGCAUAUUUGCUAUUAAUUAUUUUUAAAACAAAUACCUAUGCAUAAUAGUAUUAGUAUUUUGUGCGUUGGGUGCACUGUGUUGUUCACAUUAUUCUUUAAGAUAUUUAAUGUUUCACUAUAGUCAACAUCGUGUUACGCACUACUGUAUUUGCAAAAUAACAAUAUCCCUCAUAGCUUUAUACACCACCACCACAACAACAUGACAGAUAUAUUAUAUUUGUAUUUUAAAUAUAGCACAGUUAUUUUAAAAAGUUCACUGUGUCUGAAAAAUCCAACGAGGCCAGACGUUUUGUUACAAUAGAUACUGUAAGCGAUGUUUGUAAUACCUUUAAUCAUAUGAAUUUUGUCUGAGGAGUGGCAUUCUUCAUCUGGCAAGCAGCUUGGUUUGCUAACUGUCUGGUGCAGGACUGAAUUAAGUUUUACAAUGUGGUAAUCCCUGUUGAAAAUGUCUGUGUAUGUUUGCUUUUGUCCAAAAAGAACUUCAGUUUGAAAAUCAGUCAGCUGUAGCGCUCAAUGUUCGUGGUCCAAAACAGCAGGUUAAUCCAGCAACAGUUUGAUUCUUUGAAACUGCAUGGGCAUUAUACAUCUUCCACGUCGGUUAUUAUCGACUGCUACGUCGGUCAUGGAGCUUUAAAGUAGUUUCAAGAAAUAGCAUUUCAUAAAUUUACAUUUGUUGUUUUCUUUUAUCUUUCUGUUCAGUGAUUGUCUGCUGCCAGCCCAUAAAGUAUAGGGAAUCAUUAUUUUAAGUGCUGUUUGCGAAAGGAGGGUGAGCAAAUUUGCCACGUCAGUUACAGUUUUCUUAAAUCAGUUAUCAAAUCCCAAAUUUGGUUUCCUUCAUGUUUCAGACUUCAGACACUGCUUACGACCAUUUUGUCAGUAAUAAAAGCAGUUUUAAAUUUGAUGUCGACCAACAUAUACUUUUUAACGACUCUUAAUUACAUAUUAAAUGUAUUUUUCUAAAUAACGUAUUAGUGUUUGUAUAUUGAACGUGUUUCUGAAUGUCGUAGUGUUUGCACCAGGUCAAACCUAAUUUUACUUCCUAAUAUCUAUUUGUUUUUGUACGUACGAAAUUAUAGGGAUAACAAAUCCAGAUUCUUGAUAGUACAAGUAUUAGGACGAUCAGAAAAACAGAUAUUCGAAACAGACACGGAUAUUCUAAACAGACAUUGGUAUUCUAAACAGACACAUAUAUUCUAAACAGACGCUGAUAUUACAUUUAAUAUGUAAUACUAGUCGUUGUAAAAUUUAUUAGUUGAAAACAUCUUACAAUACAGUAAAUCUGAACGACCAAACCAUAACCAAGACGUAUCUCUGCAGACAAUGCAGAGUCAAAUGACCAUUUGGCAAAACUAGUGAUCGAUUCCACGAAUUUACGAUAGUCCCGUUAACAUUACUUCAGUCUCAACAGAAGUCGGGGAUUUUUUUCGGAAUUCAACGUGAGUUACUCUGAAAUUGCCCUGUAUCAGUUGAAAUGUUUUGUUUCUUUAGGAAUUCCACGUGGGUUACUCUGGAAUUACCCUGUAUCAGUUGAAAUGUUUUUUUCUUUCUUCGGAAUUCCACGUGGGUUACUCUAGAAUUGCCCUGUAUCAGUUGAAAUGUUUUUUCUUUCUUUGGAAUUCCACGUGUGUUACUCUGGAAUUGCCCUGUAUCAGUUGAAAUGUUGUUUUUAGGAAUUCCACGUGUGUUAUACUGGGAUUGACCUGUAUCAGUUGGAUUGUUUUACGGAAUUCCACGUGGAUUACACUAGAAUUGACCUAUUUCAGUUAAAAUGAUUUUCGGAAUUCCACAUGGGUUACUCUGGAAUUGCCCUGUAUCAGUUGAAAUGUUUUUUGUUUUUUUUAAAUUCCAUUUGGGUUACCUUAGAAUUGAUCUGUAUCAGUUGGACUGGGUUUUUUCGGAAUGUCACGUGGAUUGCACUAGAAUUGCCCUGUAUCAGUUCGAAUGGUUUUUUUCCUGAAUCCCGCGUGGGUUACACUGGAAUUGCCCUGUAUAAGUUGACAAGCCACCUGGAAGGCUGGGACGGUUUGUUGACAGUCUAACUGUCCACAGUUCAUUAUACACCUGACACGUGCCCCGUCACUUAGACGACAGCGCAUCUUCUACAAUUAGAGCCACGAUAAAUGGGCUGUGUUUCUGCACGACAGCGCAUGCUCUACAGUUAGAGCCACCAUAAAUGGGUUGUGUGUCUAUACGACAGUGCAUGCUCUACAACUAGAGCCACGAUAAAUGGGUUGUGUGUCUGUACCACAAUGCAUGCUUUACAGUUAGAGCCACGAUAAAUGGGCUGUGUGUCUGUACGGCAGCGCAUGAUCUACAGUUAGAGCCACAAUGAAUGGACUAUAUAUCUGUUGUACACGUUAUUUUCUUUUAGACCGAACCUCUCCAAAUUAAGCGUCCAAUCUCCUUAAGAAACGUUAUGUGCAAAACGACUCAUAUUUGGCUAUAAUUCCUAAGAAAAACAUUGCAAAUUCUGUACCACGAAACACCACCCUCACACACUUACGACCCUGGUCGAGCUGCCUGUGAUACAUUGCACUUGUCAGUGUGUGUGAUCCCGCCUUCUCCCUCCCCCAACUCUUUACUGUCCUGGACCGAAGAGCUGGCUCUAGUCAGAACCUGCGCCCAUGACAGGCGUACGCUAUAACAUCUUGCUUUGAAUGUGCACGUUAAACAACUUGAACUUGAACUUUCUGUCCACAUUGAUCUCGUCAUAGUUCACGGUAUGUGCUAACCUAUCAAAAUAACAUACUGAAGACCAUUUAUGUUUAUAGCUGAACACCACUGGAACUAAUAAACAAUCCAAGAUGAACUGGAGAAAGACAUGUGGCGAUUGUUAUUGAAAUAUAGCAGGAAAAGUCGUUAAUCCAGUUCUACGUGCGGCACCUGUAAUGAACACAACAUUUAAAUGUUAAUGUAAACGACACAAAUGUCAAAUCCCAAAGCUGGUAUACGACGUUGCCCAAGAGAUGUCGUCACAGCGUCAGUCGUAAAUUAGUAAUGACAGCGUGUAUUUGCAUAAGAAGCGCGAGUGGAAACAACGCCAACGCGCUACUGUCGGGAGUAUUAUCAGGACGUCAACAGAAAUGUCUUUUUAAUGUAAAACGUUUGUUUUCUACUGAAAGCCUUCAUCAUUCUUGGAAAGAUAUAACCUAGAGAAAUGUACAGAAAACUUCUAAAGCAACCCCCAACACCAACCCCCCUCCCCCGUAAAACUUAGUAUUAAAAACUUCAAUUCGAAUUCAUCAGGUUUAUAGCACAAUUCUGAAACUUUUAUAAAACUGAUGAUGUUCUUCCAAUUGUUGUUAUUUUUUAACUCUGGCAAUCAUUUUAGCCAAAUUAGCAAGACAAGUGCUUAGUCAACUGACACAGUAGUGUUCAUCAGUUUACCAUCUAUUUGUCCGAUCUUUAUAUUUCAUUUGUCCUUGCCACUUCGUUGAGUCUCACAUGUUUUUUGCUCUGUGUACGUUUCUCUCGACUUCUAAUUUGAACGUACUUUUGAGACUUCAAAUAUAUAUCCAGCUGUUGAAAUCUGCAAAAACACCGAGUCAGUGAUGAUGACCUUACCAAAUCGACCACAAUGCAUGUCCGUUACAAACUGGCUCGUAACUACGUGUUGGGAGCGUCAUUCACAAAACACAUCUUUUCGUGGAAUACUUUUUCUAACCUUCAUUAACUACAAACGCACGUGUGUAGAAAUGCGAACACGACGUCCUUUCUUUGCCGAGACGGGACUGGCUGCUCAUUCAUCACCGUGCUACCACCAGCACAGGUCAAGGUGCCAUUCAGCCCUUAAAAAAAACCAGAGAGAAAAAAGUCUAUGUUGAGAGCUUAGCGAUGCGUGCAAACGAGUGAGUGGGACGUAUGACCAUGUGAAACGGAAGAGACAGCAACCGUGUUCGUAAAACAGGAGUGCUCGUGGUUAGAAGGUGGUUAGAAGGUGCUUGUCGAAACAGUGCUAGAAUUCCUGUCUGGAUUUCUUCAUCAGUCUGGCGUUUAAUUUGAUUGUUCUAAAAUAGCAGACGACCAGCCUCGUGUCCGAUUCGAUCGACUGGCGUCAAUGGCGGAUGAUUCGAUAUUACAGGAUCAUGUUGGGAAGCCGAGGAAUAUUUUAACAUCAAGGCAUAACAGUCGGGUGUUGCAGUCACAACAUGUGUAGUGAGGUGUUCCAGUCAGAACACAUGUAUUGAGAUGUUCCAGUCACAACACGUGUAUUGAAAUGUUCCAGUCAGAACACGUGUAUUGUUGCAGUCUGAACACGUGUAUUGAGAUGUUCCAGUCAGAACACGUGUAUUGAAAUGUUCCAGUCAGAACACGUGUAUUGAAAUGUUCCAGUCACAACACGUGUAUUGAGAUGUUACAGUCACAACACGUGUAUUGUUGCAGUCUGAACACGUGUAUUGAGAUGUUCCAGUCACAACACGUGUAUUGAAAUGUUCCAGUCACAACACGUGUAUUGAGAUGUCACAGUCACAACACGUGUAUUGUUGCAGUAAGAACACGUGUAUUGAGAUGUUCCAGUCACAACACGUGUAUUGUUGCAGUAAGAACACAUGUAUUGAGAUGUUCCAGUCACAACACGUGUAUUGAAAUGUUCCAGUCAGAACACGUGUAUUGUUGCAGUCUGAACACGUGUAUUGAGAUGUUCCAGUCAGAACACGUGUAUUGGUAUGUUCCAGUUAGAACACGUGUAUUGAGAUGUUCCAGUCAGAACACGUGUACUAAGAUGUUCCAAUCACAACACGUCUAUUGUUCCAGUCACAACACGUGUAUUGUUCCAGUCACAACAUGUGUAUUGAGGUGUUCCAAUCAGAACACGUGUAUUAUUCCAGUCACAACAUAUAUAUUGAGGUGUUCCAAUCAGAACACGUGUAUUGUUCAGUCAGAACACGUGAUUUGAGGUGUUUCAGUCAGAAGACGUGUCAGAGGUAACCGAGCCAGAACACGCAAUAGGAUGCUGUACUACAAAGGACCCACACACAGAAACUUAAUUAUGACUAAAGCAAUAUAUGUUUAUGUUUUCCGUGAUGUAACCUGUCAUACCACCUUCCUUCUUUAACUGAUCACCGGCAUGCAUGUAUGUAAAUAUCGAAAUAGUUCAGAGUUUUAUCUUUAUGUAUGUCACUGCCUAUCGUGAAAUAUUGUUACCAGAUGUUAGGCGGGGCGGGUGCUUAUGGGAGUAGAGAAAAUAGCUCUCAGCUUAAGAACAUUGUUUUUUCCAUACUCCCGAAAAAUCGUUAAUUUUAUUUAAACCCAAAUGCUAUACGAUUACAAAACUACCCACUUUGGGUGGACUGUGAUUUGGCGACCUCAACACUGUCUUCAAUCUUCUACAGAAUGAUGUUUUAAGUUUGUUUAUAUAUAUAUAUAUACACACACACACACACA
rnacentral:lncRNA from 1 species